AUCAGUUGUAUUCCACUUACCUAUCUUUAGCUAUUUAAUAAUUAGGCAUCUAUUGCCUAAGCUUCCCUGACAGAGUAGGGGUAAAAAAAGAAGAAGGAAGGGCCUCUUGAGAAAAAUACAGAACCUAUUGUUGGGUGAAAUGAUAACUUGUCAUCUCCACUGGACAUACCUCCUAGACAACUAGUCUAGACAUAAUACUGAACUUUUAAAUAACUAAACUGAAAUGAGAUUGCAUUAGCCUUGGGGUACUCAUUGCUUAAGUCAUAAGCUUCCUGCAGCAAGCCUAUUACUCCCUCCCUUCAGUUUUGUAUUUGUAAAGUCAUCAUAAUUCUUAUGUAUCUGUAUCAUGGAAGAUACUAUGAAAAGACAGGAGUUAAAUAUUUUGAUGUGUCUAGCCAUUACAGUAAUGGAACUGUAUACUUGAGCAUCAAUAGGAUGUCAAAGAACUUUGCAUUUUUUCUGGAACAUGCAAUUCAGUGCAUUCUAGAAAACAGUGCAGCCAGUGACAAGCUUUUAUCUUCCUUUUUGUUCCUAAAGAAGCUCUAAGUAUUUAAUUUACUGAAAUAUUCAGUAGAACCUGACAUAUUGAAGGACAAAACUUAUGAGAAAAUUAUACAGAUUAUAAUGGACUUUUGGAAGCUGAAGGUCCUCCUAAGAAAAGGAGGGUUCCACUUUCUUCCUUUGGGAUAAGGAGAGGAAGUCUAUUGUAAGUUUGGAAGCUCUGUGUGACUGCUUAGUAUGCAGUCUGAAAGGAGAAUCAAUAUAGACAAGGCUAUUCUCAGAUAUUUGAUUUUUAACUUCACUUGUGAUAUUGCCUUGGUUACAGAAAUUAAUGUCAAGUAAGUAACAAGGGGUUCAAGGAUAAUAUAAGUCAAACAGGCUAUCUUCCCUAUGGGAAAAGCUAUCAAAAGAAGAGAAGAAAAUGGGGUCAAAGUGUUGGCAAAAACAUUCUUCAGGGAAACAGCACCCUACUGAAAAUAUUAAAUGAGUCUUGUGUUGCAAAAAUAUAUAUAAUUCCUAUGUAAAGUUAUAUAUUUCUAUGUGUAUGUAUAUACUACAUAUAUAUGUACAGAUGUACACACUUCUGUUAUGAUCUACAUACGGAGACAAACUUAAUUAUCUCUGUCCUGUAUAAUAGACCCUAAUGAAAUUAUCAGAAUAUUUAUGAACAAUGGCUGGAUUUUAAAAGCAUUGUAAUCAUGAGGACCUUCACUGAGAGAAAAAGACAUGCCUCAGUCAUUCCCAAGUAUGGGACUUGUAAAAGUAGGGUUUUACUUGUGUCUCCACGAAUUCCUGAUUUAAUAUUGAACAAGCAACUCGAAACUAGGUCUUCAACACUACAAGAGUGUUGCAGUGACAUUUUAGUCAUAAGGUUUAGGUCACUGGCUGAUGCCAGGAAAACCACAGCCUAAUUUCGUAUGCAAACUCUCUGAAGAGAGAGCAGUCUAAGAAAGAGAUUUGCAAUGGCCAGCACAGUCAGUUUUGGUAAACAGGAAUUAGUAAGUUUCUUGAGCUAAAUAGAAUUUUAUCUUUAACAAUACACACAAAUUUCAAGCCACCUAAAAAAUACUUCUCUUCACUGGACUAUUAUACAUAAAUUCUAUUUUUUCUGUGGAGUUUACUUCAUUGUCAACUGAAGAUGAUUAAACAUAAUGGUUCAGGUGACUGAUGUGCCUCAGAUUUAUUCCAUGUUGUAACCCAAGAAAGAGCUGGAUACAGGAAACUCUCAUCUCUGUCGACAAUGUUAGUCAGUCAGUCAGUCACAUCAGUAGGUCAUUUAUUUAUAGACUAAUUUGGCCAGAGAGGAAAAGGACUGUACUUUGUUGUUAAUAGCUGCAGGGGAAAUGGAGAAAGAAAAGUUCCCAUAUCUUUAUACAAAGUACAUAUUCUUUGUUUUACAAUUACUGGAUAAAAUGAUGAAAUAUUCAUGACAGCAGAACUGUGACUUUGACAUCUAGUUCCUAGCAAGCCAUCCUAAUCACCACGCUAGAGGCCCAUGGUCAUUCCUGCGAUGUUUUUUCAACUCAUGAAUCUCAAAUUACUCCACACAAACUGAAGAAAUACCAGUGGGACAGACUGAGAAGAACUGCCUUUUCUGAUGCCUGCAAUGGCCUGUAUCCCUGUGGAUUUUGACACAAGUAGUGGCCCUGAAACCCCAGGUAUUAGAAAUUACGUUUACUCUCUACCCUAGUGGCAUGUAUCUAACUGCUGAAUUUAAGGAUGCAGGAAACUACCUUUUAACAGCACCAAAUCCUUCUCCAGUGUUUGCUAGGGGUUUUUUGUUUGUUUGGGGUGGGAGGGUGUGUUCUUUGUUUUGGUGGGGUUUUUUUGCUUAAAUGCAUCCUAAUCAGUUACAUGUGCUCUGAUAACACUUAACAGAUUGCAUAUUGCAUAUAAACCAGCCAAAUCUUUUAAAUUGUGAAGUCCAAAAAGGUUGGUGCUUAAGCUGGAAUUAAGCUAUUCCACACUUGUAUCCCUAAAAUAGGGUUUUAAUAGACAAAGAUGAAACAGAUCUUGGCAAACGGUUUAAAGAGGAAGUGCCAUAUAAAAGCAAGCAAUAAAUAGAUGGAGCAGCGUGAAAAGCCAUGCAACCUUCUGAUGUAUGGAGUGUUGGCCUAUAAACUGAGGGAGAAAACAGAGUAGCUCUGAAUAAUCAGGCUGCAUCAAAGAAGCAAGACAAAGUUAAGUUCAUGGAGAUUUUUGAAAACUUGGAUGGUACAUUUCAUCAUUACAGAUUUGGAUUCAAAAAGUAAAAAUGAAAGGAAACAGAGUAGAAUUUUGGGUCCUUCAUAAGGUAUUCAGGUUAUCAGAGCAUAAAUAUAGCCAUAUUUAGUUUGUGUUCCUGGCAACUAUCCUUUUUAUCUCUUCAAGACUCUAGCUUAUACAAUGAGAUAAGUAGUUCUAUGAAUGUCUUGUUUCUGACAAAUCAUCUUUCUCCUAUAGAAAAAUAUUUCAUCAGACAACUUUUGCUCAUACUUACUUAUUACUAAUUAAAAACAUAUAUUAGCUUAUCAGCUAGUUUUUAAUUCUGUGAUUAUGAAUAGUAAUUGAGAUGCAUGAAGAUCUUGGUGAAAAGGUCGCACAGAGCAAAAAAUUACAGUGCCAGCUCUACAAUACCCUUUCAAUGUUUGCCAUUAAGUGGGCCAGACUCUAUGGGUGAAUUAUGAAUAAGUUUCUUGGCUGCAGUUCAACCAUACAUUCAAAUACUUGAAGCUUGGUCUUAAGCACAACUCUUAAAUUCUCCUUAAAUUAUCUUAAACUCUCCUAUAUGCUCCCUAACAGUACAUUAAGCCCUCCAGCAAAGCAGAUUUGAGGUUUGAUUCAAUCUGUCCAUCCUGAAAGAAGUUUUCCUAGUGGUAGUAAAGACUGACAGCAAGUUCUAUAUAUAAAAGAUGAAAAAAAACUCUGAACACAAAAGUAUCACUGACGUGUAAUUCUCAGUUUGCUUUGUGUAUAUACUGAGGAUCUAACCAGAAAGCAACUACACAGAAGGAAUUAAAAUAAAUUCAUGUUUAAAAAAAAAAAAAAAAAAAAAAUCAUAUUUCUACUCAAAAUCCCUGGAAUCCCUUAAGCUCAGGCUUGUUCUCAGAACUACAGUGUGCAUACUUUUGGGAAAAUACCUACAUUUAUGUGCUAGUAAUACGGUCCCUGUCUCAAGAUCCUAAAUACUUCUUUUC
ensembl:lncRNA